rnacentral:rRNA from 1 species
UACGAAGGGGGCUAGCGUUGUUCGGAAUUACUGGGCGUAAAGCGUGCGCAGGCGGCUUCUCAAGUCAGGGGUGAAAGCCCAGAGCUCAACUCUGGAACUGCCUUCGAGACUGAGAGUCUUGAGUCCGGGAGAGGUGAGUGGAACUGCGAGUGUAGAGGUGAAAUUCGUAGAUAUUCGCAAGAACACCAGUGGCGAAGGCGGCUCACUGGCCCGGUACUGACGCUGAGGUGCGAAAGCGUGGGGAGCAAACAGG